AACGAACGCUGGCGGCAUGCCUAACACAUGCAAGUCGAACGAGACCUUCGGGUCUAGUGGCGCACGGGUGCGUAACGCGUGGGAACCUGCCCUUAGGUUCGGAAUAACUCCCCGGAAGGGGUGCUAAUACCGGAUAAUGUCUUCGGACCAAAGAUUUAUCGCCUUUGGAUGGGCCCGCGUUGGAUUAGCUAGUCGGUAGGGUAAAAGCCUACCAAGGCGACGAUCCAUAGCUGGUCUGAGAGGAUGAUCAGCCACACUGGGACUGAGACACGGCCCAGACUCCUACGGGAGGCAGCAGUGGGGAAUAUUGGACAAUGGGCGAAAGCCUGAUCCAGCAAUGCCGCGUGAGUGAUGAAGGCCUUAGGGUUGUAAAGCUCUUUUACCCGGGAUGAUAAUGACAGUACCGGGAGAAUAAGCUCCGGCUAACUCCGU
rnacentral:rRNA from 1 species